rnacentral:rRNA from 1 species
GCCCAGGGAGGUCGGCAACGCACCCAGGGCCGGAAAGUUAUCCAAACUCGAUCAUUUAGAGGAAGUAAAAGUCGUAACAAGGUCUCCGUUGGUGAACCAGCGGAGGGAUCAUUGCUGGAACGCGCCCCAAGGCGCCAGAAACCCUUUGUGAACUUAUAC